CAGCAGCCACGGUAAUACGGAGGGUGCAAGCGUUAUCCGGAUUCACUGGGUUUAAAGGGUGCGUAGGCGGGCAGGUAAGUCAGUGGUGAAAUCUUCGAGCUUAACUCGGAAACUGCCGUUGAUACUAUCUGUCUUGAAUAACGUUGAGGUGAGCGGAAUAUGUCAUGUAGCGGUGAAAUGCUUAGAUAUGACAUAGAACACCGAUUGCGAAGGCAGCUCACUAAACGCUCAUUGACGCUGAGGCACGAAAGCGUGGGGAUCAAACAGGAUUAGAUACCCCCGUAGUCCCUGUCUCUUAUAC
rnacentral:rRNA from 1 species